rnacentral:rRNA from 1 species
GACGAACGCUGGCGGCGUGCCUAAUACAUGCAAGUUGAGCGCUGAAGGUUGGUACUUGUACCAACUGGAUGAGCAGCGAACGGGUGAGUAACGCGUGGGGAAUCUGCCUUUGAGCGGGGGACAACAUUUGGAAACGAAUGCUAAUACCGCAUAAAAACUUUAAACACAAGUUUUAAGUUUGAAAGAUGCAAUUGCAUCACUCAAAGAUGAUCCCGCGUUGUAUUAGCUAGUUGGUGAGGUAAAGGCUCACCAAGGCGAUGAUACAUAGCCGACCUGAGAGGGUGAUCGGCCCCAUUGGGACUGAGACACGGCCCAAACUCCUACGGGAGGCAGCAGUAGGGGAUCUUCGGCAAUGGACGAAAGUCUGACCGAGCAACGCCGCGUGAGUGAAGAAGGUUUUCGGAUCGUAAAACUCUGUUGGUAGAGAAGAACGUUGGUGAGAGUGGAAAGCUCAUCAAGUGACGGUAACUACCCAGAAAGGGACGGCUAACUACGUG